ACAAUAUUUUGCUGCCCAUAUUGUUCCUGGUUGUUAACAAUGUUGUUCAGGCUGAACAAUGCUGAACAAUAUUGUUAACAACUAGGAACAAUAUGGGCAGCAAAAUAUUGUUC
rnacentral:miRNA from 1 species